rnacentral:tRNA from 1 species
GGCUUAGCUCAGUUGGUAGAGCACCGCUCUUGUAAAGCGGGGGUCGUGGGUUCGAGCCCCUCAGCCGG